rnacentral:rRNA from 1 species
CCUGAUCCAGCCAUGCCGCGUGUGUGAAGAAGGCCUUCGGGUUGUAAAGCACUUUCAGCUGGGAGGAAGGNCNGNNGNUUAAUACUUUGCUGUUUUGACGUUACCCACAGAAUAAGCACCGGCUAACUCCGUGCCAGCAGCCGCGGUAAUACGGAGGGUGCAAGCGUUAAUCGGAAUUACUGGGCGUAAAGCGCGCGUAGGUGGUUCGUUAAGUCGGAUGUGAAAUCCCCGGGCUCAACCUGGGAACUGCAUUUCGAAACUGACGGGCUAGAGUAUGGUAGAGGGGGGUGGAAUUCCCGGUGUAGCGGUUGAAAUGCGUAGAUAUCUGGGAGGAACACCGGUGGCGAAGGCGGCCCCCUGGACCAAUACUGA